GAAACCAACAGGGAUUGCCUCAGUAGCGGCGAGUGAAGCGGCAAAAGCUCAAAUUUGAAAUCUGGCGUCUUUGGCGUCCGAGUUGUAAUUUGAAGAAGGUAUCUUUGGGCCCGGCUCUUGUCUAUGUUCCUUGGAACAGGACGUCACAGAGGGUGAGAAUCCCCUGCGAUGAGAUGACCCGGGUCUGUGUAAAGUUCCUUCGACGAGUCGAGUUGUUUGGGAAUGCAGCUCUAAGUGGGUGGUAAAUUCCAUCUAAAGCUAAAUAUUGGCGAGAGACCGAUAGCGAACAAGUACAGUGAUGGAAAGAUGAAAAGAACUUUGAAAAGAGAGUGAAAAAGUACGUGAAAUUGUUGAAAGGGAAGGGCUUGAGAUCAGACUUGGUAUUUUGCAUGCUGCUCUCUCGGGGGCGGCCGCUGCGGUUUACCGGGCCAGCAUCGGUUUGGAGCGGCAGGAUAAUGGCGGAGGAAUGUGGCACGGCUUCUGCUGUGUGUUAUAGCCUC
rnacentral:rRNA from 1 species